rnacentral:tRNA from 1 species
AGUAUUAUGGCUGAUAAAAGCAGUAAACUGUAAAUUUACACAUAAGAUUCUCUUUAAUACUA